AUGACAAGACACGAUAAAAGUCACAACAUGUUGCCUGCCGCACGCAGCCUGCUUUUCUUAUCAAAUGUCUUCCCAGCUGUGGCUAAUGAAGGGAAUCAGG